CCUAACUUACCCAUCUAAUAAAUGGGUCAGUUCGGGUUGACCCGUUUAUGACCCGACCCAUAUAACUUGACCCAUACCUAUAAUAAACGGGUCGGGUCGGGUUGGGUUGAUGGGUCGGGUCAUAAAUUGCCACCCCUAGUUAAGGAGAAUGGUUUAUUUAAUCAUCAAAAGAGCUUUCACCUUCUGCUGAUGAGGUUAGACAGACUAUGUAGUUUUUCCUUCUCCUCUCCAACGCUUAUCGAAGUAUCUGCAGUUCCAAAAAUCCCAUCAAGAACAUGAAAUAUCUCUCAAAGAUCAAGGGUGUGGGGAAGUGGAUAUUGAGGAUUAUGAAGGGUUUUUUCCCUGAUUCUCCUGCUCCUUUGGAGGUUUCACUGUCAAAGGUUGUACGCGGUGUUCAAUUGUAAAAAUUCUUUAUUAAGUAACAUUUUUAUGUAAGUUUUUGGAGGAACCUUUUUAAUCAAAGUUUUAUGCUCGAAAAAAUUGUCUAUUUUGUUGAAGCAACAUUCAAAAGGCUCACUGCGUGUAAGAAACAUGCAUAAAAAUGCUCAGACAAUUGUAUUUGCAGUUAUACAAUUAAAUAUUUUUAUGUGAAACUAAA